UACGUAGGGAGCAAGCGUUUGUCCGGAAUCAUUGGGCGUAAAGCGCGCGUAGGUGGCCUCAUAAGUCCGCUGUGAAAGUCAAAGGCUCAACCUUUGAAAGCCGGUGGAUACUGUGAGGCUAGAGUACGGAAGAGGCGAGUGGAAUUCCUGGUGUAGCGGUGGAAUGCGCAGAUAUCAGGAGGAACACCAAUAGCGAAGGCAGCUCGCUGGGACGUUACUGACACUGAGGCGCGAAAGCGUGGGGAGCGAACAGG
rnacentral:rRNA from 1 species